rnacentral:rRNA from 1 species
CAGUGUCUGGUGGGUAGUUUGACUGGGGCGGUCUCCUCCUAAAGAGUAACGGAGGAGCACGAAGGUUGGCUAAUCCUGGUCGGACAUCAGGAGGUUAGUGCAAUGGCAUAAGCCAGCUUGACUGCGAGCGUGACGGCGCGAGCAGGUGCGAAAGCAGGUCAUAGUGAUCCGGUGGUUCUGAAUGGAAGGGCCAUCGCUCAACGGAUAAAAGGUACUCCGGGGAUAACAGGCUGAUACCGCCCAAGAGUUCAUAUCGACGGCGGUGUUUGGCACCUCGAUGUCGGCUCAUCACAUCCUGGGGCUGAAGUAGGUCCCAAGGGUAUGGCUGUUCGCCAUUUAAAGUGGUACGCGAGCUGGGUUUAGAACGUCGUGAGACAGUUCGGUCCCUAUCUGCCGUGGGCGCUGGAGAACUGAGGGGGGCUGCUCCUAGUACGAGAGGACCGGAGUGGACGCAUCACUGGUGUUCGGGUUGUCAUGCCAAUGGCACUGCCCGGUAGCUAAAUGCGGAAGAGAUAAGUGCUGAAAGCAUCUAAGCACGAAACUUGCCCCGAGAUGAGUUCUCCCUGAGACUUAGAGUCUCCUGAAGGAACGUUGAAGACGACGACGUUGAUAGGCCGGGUGUGUAAGCGCAGCGAUGCGUUGAGCUAACCGGUACUAAUGAACCGUGAGG